rnacentral:rRNA from 1 species
UACGUAGGGGGCAAGCGUUGUCCGGAUUUAUUGGGCGUAAAGAGCUCGUAGGCGGUUUGGUAAGUCAGGUGUGAAAUCUCCACGCUCAACGUGGAGGGGCCACCUGAUACUGCCAUGACUGGAGUCCGGUAGAGGAGUGUGGAAUUCCCGGUGUAGCGGUGAAAUGCGCAGAUAUCGGGAGGAACACCCGUAGCGAAGGCGGCACUCUGGGCCGAUACUGACGCUGAGGAGCGAAAGCCAGGGGAGCAAACGGG